UGGACUCCAUAACAAGAGGCCUGCGUAUGCUUCAUAAUUUAAACAUCUAAGAUCAGGAUAAUUGUAGCGAUGAGGCUGUUUCCUUCAUGAUACCACCAGGUCAUGGAGUGUCAACUUGAGACUUCUAAUUGAAGAAUGAAAUGCAGCUGAACUCCACACCUGAUCAGGAAUAUCACCGUGUUCAGCUCUCUCAUUUAAAUGUGUGUUUGAUCAUCUCUGAUUCAUUUGACAUGAAUCCUCAGAGAAUGUGAAGAAAAGAAGUAAUUACAUGCAAGUCCUCAUGUCAAUGAUCCAAACCUUUUGCAUAUCAGCAUGAGAACAGUUGACUUGUAUCCCAAACUAAGUUAGGAGUCUGCAUCUUUACUUCUUUUUCUUUUUACUGUGUUGUAAAAUUUGCUUUCAGAGCAAUUAGUUGCACCUGCUUUUAACUAAUGACCUGCAGCCACUCGACAACAGUAGAAAAGGAUAAAUGGUUUCAGUCCCCUCAGUUCUUCACUGUUUUUGAACUAUUAAGGUGACAGCAAGGUUCAUAGAGGUGGCAUGGGACUGCUCUUUGGAUGGUUGCUGUUGUCUCUGUUAGGCGUUGGAGGACCUCACGUAAAUGCAUACUAUACUGGAGCUGAAAAGUAUAGAGGGGAAGACGUGCAGCUGACUCCCUAUGACCCAGAGGAAUAUGGAUAUCCUGUUGAACAAACCUUCCCAAGAGGGGGUCCAACUGGUCCCAAGAAACCAAUUCCAUCGCCAGUGAAGCGUGACUAUGCUUCAGGAGGAGCAACGGGUCCUCUUAAACCAACGCUAGUAGAAACUAGUUACCCAAUGAGGGAGCCUCUGGGUUCCACAAAACCAGUCUCUUGGCCUGUGGAGCCCAGUUACCCACAGUGGGAACCAAUGGAUCAAAUGAAGCCAUCUCCUUUACCUGUGAAGCUUAAAUAUCCAACUCUAGAGUCAGUGGGUCUAUCAAAUCCACAGACUGAACAUGCAGGACCCAGAUAUCCACUUCCUGGUUAUGUUGACUCUCACAGGGGGCCAAAAAUGACCCCAGACCGCUUUUUCACAUCAGUGGCUCCAAGAAAGCCGGUUUACAAAGCCAAGCGACCAAGUGACUUACUGAAAUAUCCUCGCAAACCACAUUACCUCACAAUCCGGACGAGAUAUGUACCCAAGCGCCCAGCAUGGAGAAGGAAGUCUAGAUGGGCACAUUAAAGACUUUGGGAUAAUCUAAGUCACAUAAGUUUGAGGUGCCUUUUGUUUGACAAGCAGUACCCAUCUGUGUGUGCCAGUGUUUAUUUAUUUGAGCUGCUCUGGUUAAACCGACUGACGUUUACAAGUUCCUUCUGAUUCCACAAAUAUCUAUAAAAUAUCUGGAUUUUUGUCACCUACUGUUGAAGCAUCUCUUUGAAGAUUAGGUGGCGUCUUUUUCAUCUUGCAAAAGCUGCCUUUUAUUUUUUUUGGCACCUCCCUUAAGGACAGAAGUGCCAUCACUAAUUUGUGGAUGAAGGACUUUGAUGCCCUUGUGAUUUUUGUUAAGGUUUUCAGGCAGUAUCUGUCACACAUUUUGAUGUACUAUCAGAGUGUAAAAGUAGUUUUAUGGGAGUUUUUAGCCUCCGGAACAGUUUUAGUUAAUUUGCUUCAGUUUAAAAUGUCUACUUCUUUUUCUAAGACUUUGUUUUACUGACUAAUCUUCUGUGGUGGUCUAUCUUGCUUGAUGGGCCAUGUCACAGCAAAAACCAACAUGAUUAAUGAGACAAGUGCAAAAAGAAGUACUGUGAGUGCAUGAUAAUGGCUCUAAAUGAUGUCCCAAAUGCAGAGUCUCAGAGAAACAUUGACCUAUUUUAGCAAAUCUAAGCCCCCAUUUACUACAGAAAUAACCACUGCUCCAAAAGCAGAUUGUUUGGAUGUAAAAAAGCUGCAUCCCUGCAUUUUGUAGAUGUUGCAA
ensembl:lncRNA